UACAGAGGUGGCAAGCGUUGUUCGGAAUUAUUGGGCGUAAAGAGCACGUAGGCGGCCCUACAAGUCAGCUGUGAAAUCCUUCUGCUCAACGGAAGAACGGCAGUUGAUACUAUAGGGCUUGAGUGCGGGAGGGGAGAGUGGAACUUCUGGUGGAGCGGUGAAAUGCGUAGAUAUCGGAAGGAACAUCAGUGGCGAAAGCGACUUCCUGGUCCAGCACUGACGCUCAGGCACGAAAGCGUGGGGAGCAAAC
rnacentral:rRNA from 1 species